rnacentral:rRNA from 1 species
UGGCGGACGGGUGAGUAACACGUGAGUAACCUACCUUUCAAAGGGGGAUAACGUCUGGAAACGGACGCUAAUACCGCAUAAUACUAUUUGAGGGCAUCCUUGGAUAGUCAAAGGAGAAAUCCGAUGGGAGAUGGACUCGCGGCUGAUUAGAUAGUUGGCGGGGUAGAGGCCCACCAAGUCGACGAUCAGUAGCCGGACUGAGAGGUUGAACGGCCACAUUGGGACUGAGACACGGCCCAGACUCCUACGGGAGGCAGCAG